ACAGUCUUGGAGAGAGCGCGCAAGGCAGGGAACCCUUCCCCUCCUUUUCCGAGGCUGCACUUCUUGGAAGUGAAGCGGGCUGGGGUUUUGUUUCCCUUCCCCCCUCCGCCCUCCUCUUCCUCCACCCCUUUCCCCUCCCCCUCCCCCUCCCCCUCAGCUGUCUUUCUAGCAUGAUGCCCUUUUUCAUCCACAUUUGUGUUUCAGGUGUAGAAAGCAGAGAGUGAACAGGGAGCGGGGCUUUUGUCUGUAAGUAUAUGCCAUUCUCAUCCCCAGCUGGGAGCGCUGCUUUCUCUUUUGUGUGGUUCCUUGCCUUUGCUCUUAGCUGGACCCUUCAACCUUGCAGAGAGUACAUGCUUUCUCCCUCUAAAUUUUAGAGCUAAAGCUGACACCUUGGAAAAAUUGUGUCAUUUCGCUCCUGCUGCAUUAACGCUGGGAUUUAACUUGCCCCCCCCCCUUCCUUUGUUUAAUGCACAAGUUGAGAGAAAUGAAUUCUUUUGUGAAGGGGUGGGGUUUUGCUUGCUGGUGUGGUUAAUGUUCUUGUUAGUUGUUGAGAGCUGUUUUGUUCCUUUGCAUUAAAUGCACUUUGGUGCAUGCAAGCUCCCCCUCCCUUUAUAAAACCCUUACACUUGAUUACUCUUUCAGGGUUGCUGCUGCGGCGGGCGGCCGGGGUGUGUGUGUGUGUGGGGGGGGGCUUUACGGGUUUUAGCUCUUGUAACACUUUUUUUCCUCCUUGCAUGUUCUUAUAAAGCAGUUGAACUUGGAGUGCGGGAGCAUUAAAGAUAAAUGACUACUUUUUUUCUCGACGCCGCUAAUAACCUGAUUUGCAUUUGUGUUUCUAUAACAACAUUAUGGGAAAACUCUUAGUGCCUCUGAUACUCGUUUGGAGAACUUCUAGUUUUUCCAUUCAUCUGAAUUUUUCCUUAACUUGCAUUAACAAAAGAGUUGUGUUCUAAUGGGAUAAAGGUGGAGCGGGAAACCACUGCAGCAUGUACAUUAAUGUUUAUUUGCUUUGGGGAGAGGGCAUAAUGGUGUAUAUUCCUGACUUUCUCCCUUGUGUAGGUUUUUUUUUUUUUUUUUUUUUAAAACACGGAAGGUUAUGUAAUGCAGUGCCAUUUCCAAAAAUAUCCACUCUGAGGCAUUACACUACGGUGGAAGGCUGAUUCUUGCUCUGCUGUCUUGAUUGCAAAUAUACUGCCAGUAGUAUGUCUGGGAACAAAGAGCAGCCAGAAAACAAUCUAUUUUUAUCACUUGGGUCUACUUUUAAGUUGCUAAACCUUUUGAACUGCAAUUUAAAGAUGAACCAGACACUAAGAAUAGCCCGGGAGUGCAAAGCCAGGUGCCAGGCAUUCCUUUGUCCCCUAUGUAAACCUGUAGACCACUUGGAAAGCCCCUUCAGGGAAACGUUUAGAAUAAUUUGCGUGGGACUUAUCUUCAGCACACAAAGUGGUUAUUUGUCUGUGACCUCUAAGGAGGCAUUUUGCAUUUGCUGACCUGUGGUGAAGCAGUGUGUCUACUGUAUUUAAACAUAUUUUGCAGGUUGGUCUCCCUGGACUGAAGGAAGGGAGAAUAGAAGAAGCCCAAGACUAUUAAGAGUCUCAAAAUGGUAAGAAAUGGUCAACAGAGGGAAUUCUCAGCUUAUCACUUAUCACAUAGAAGUAUCAGGCUCUCCUUCACCCAGCCUAACUCUUUAUUGUUCCCACCCCAUCUGACCUUAGAAGGUUCUUUUUGUCCCCAGCAUGCAGGAGCUUUGCAGCAUAGCAGUCUAUAGGAGUUGGAUGUGGUGACUUAGAGCUAUUGACUUGCAGUCAUUUUGAAUACAAAGCUAAAAUUCUUGUCUCAGAGAAAGGAUGUAUUUAACUCAAACAACAGGACCUAUUCUGUUCUUUAAGAAGAUUGACAUGUUGUGACAUGCAUGAAGGGAGACCGGCAGGAAGGCUCAAACAAAGCAGUGGCUCUUACAUUACAGGCAGCUAAAACUUACCAAAAAUCUGCGAGUCUGUGCCCAAGCCACAAGCUCUAGUAUAGGCUGUCCUUAGUAGUGGUAGAUAUUAUUUUUUAAUGAAGACAUUAUGUGUUGUUAUUCAAAUAUAUGUGCUUUUUUUCUGACUUAUAACUUUUUUUUUAAAGAGAAAAUUCAGUUUUAGAGGGCAGGCAUAUUAACCUCUAAAUUAAGAUGUAGCCAUUUCUUACAAGGAGUAUACAGAGAGGACAGUUGAAUUUCUGAUUAAAUGAAGCCACAUAGAAAAUAUACAUCGAAAGCAGCUAAAUACAUGUGUUGUACUUCUGUGGGAGGGAAAGAAAUGACAGAAGUGUUCUGAAGCCUCCUUGCAGCGCAACGUGCCCUCCUGAAGAUGCUGAGGGUCCUCAGAGCACCCAGGUCCUGGCUUAUGUGUAUGAAUCCCUAGUUCACUUCUCAUUUAUUUUUCUUUUCAUUUGUCUUCGAAAUGAGGGUGGAAUUUAGUGAAUUAAAAUUGGAUCUGAUG
rnacentral:lncRNA from 1 species